rnacentral:lncRNA from 1 species
AUGAACAGUGAGGUACAAAGAGAUGGAAGAAUCUUGGAUUUGAUUGACAAUGCUUGGUGAGAAGACAGGCUACCAUAGGAGGACGCUGCAGUUCCACUGAAUGAGCUUCCUAAACCAGAACAAGACAAUGUUGGCUCCCAGAAUCUGCCAAAGAACAAGAAAUGAAGUGUACAGACUUAACCUUACAGCACCUCCAUGAGAACAUUCCCCUCACUGGAAA